ACUAUUUUGGCAGAUUAGUGCGAUGGAUUUAGAAUCUUUAUAUGUAUAAUUAUACAAAUAGUA
rnacentral:tRNA from 1 species